UACGUAGGGGGCAAGCGUUGUCCGGAUUUAUUGGGCGUAAAGAGCUCGUAGGUGGUUUGUCGCGUUGUCCGUGAAAACUCACAGCUUAACUGUGGGCGUGCGGGCGAUACGGGCAGACUGGAGUACUGCAGGGGAGACUGGGAAUUCUGGUGUAGCGGUGGAAUGCGCAGAUAUCAGGAGGAACACCGGUGGCGAAGGCGGGUCUCUGGGCAGUAACUGACGCUGAGGAGCGAAAGCGUGGGGAGCGAACAGG
rnacentral:rRNA from 1 species